rnacentral:rRNA from 1 species
GAUGAACGCUGGCGGCGUGCCUAAUACAUGCAAGUCGAGCGAACAGACGAGGAGCUUGCUCCUCUGACGUUAGCGGCUGACGGGUGAGUAACACGUGGAUAACCUACCUAUAAGACUGGGAUAACUUCGGGAAACCGGAGCUAAUACCGGAUAAUAUAUUGAACCGCAUGGUUCAAUAGUUAAAGACGGUUUUGCUGUCACUUAUAGAUGGAUUCGCGCCGCAUUAGCUAGUUGGUAAGGUAACGGCUUACCGAGGAAACGAUGCGUAGCCGACCUGAGAGGGUGAUCGGCCAAAAUGGAACUGAGACACGGGUCAGACCCCCAAGGGAGGCAGCAGGAGGGAAUUUUCCGCAAUGGGGGAAAGCCUGACGGAGCAAAGCCGCGUGAGGGAUGAAGGUCUUCGGAUCGUAAAACUCUGUUAUUAGGGAAGAACAAAUGUGUAAGUAACUAUGCGCGUCUUGACGGUACCUAAUCAGAAAGCCACGGCUAACUACGUG